rnacentral:rRNA from 1 species
GAUCAUGGCUCAGGACGAACGCUGGCGGCGUGCUUAACACAUGCAAGUCGAGCGAUGAAGCUUCUUCGGAAGUGGAUUAGCGGCGGACGGGUGAGUAACACGUGGGUAACCUACCUCAUAGAGGGGAAUAGCCUUCCGAAAGGAAGAUUAAUACCGCAUAAGAUUGUAAUAUCGCAUGAUAUAGCAAUUAAAGGAGCAAUCCGCUAUGAGAUGGACCCGCGUCGCAUUAGCUAGUUGGUGAGGUAACGGCCCACCAAGGCGACGAUGCGUAGCCGACCUGAGAGGGUGAUCGGCCACAUUGGGACUGAGACACGGCCCAGACUCCUACGGGAGGCAGCAGUGGGGAAUAUUGCACAAUGGGGGAAACCCUGAUGCAGCAAACCGCCGCGUGAGUGAUGACGGUCUUCGGAUUGUAAAGCUCUGUCUUCAGGGACGAUAAUGACGGUACCUGAGGAGGAAGCCACGGCUAACUACGUGCCAGCAGCUGC